UGGGGAAUUUUGGACAAUGGGCGCAAGCCUGAUCCAGCAAUGCCGCGUGCAGGAUGAAGGCCUUCGGUUUGUAAACUGCUUUUGUACGGAGCGAAAAGGUCUGCCUUAAUACGUUGGGCUCAUGACGGUACCGUAAGAAUAAGCACUGUCUAACUACGUGCCAGCAGCCGCGGUAAUACGUAGGGUGCGAUCGUUAAUCGGAAUUACUGGGCGUAAAGCGUGCGCAGGCGGUUAUAUAAGACAGAUGUGAAAUCCCCGGGCUCAACCUGGGACCUGCAUUUGUGACUGUAUAGCUAGAGUACGAGAGAGGGGGAUGGAAUUCCGCGUGUAGCAGUGAAGUGCGUAGAUAUGCGGAGAAACACCGAUGGCGAAGGCAAUCCCCUGGACAUGUACUGACGCUCAUGCACGAGAGCGUGGAGAGCAAACA
rnacentral:rRNA from 1 species